GUUAAUCGGAAUUACUGGGCGUAAAGGGUGCGCAGGUGGUUUUGUAAGUCAGAUGUGAAAUCCCCGGGCUUAACCUGGGAAUUGCGUUUGAAACUACAAGACUAGAGUGUGGCAGAGGGGGGUGGAAUUCCAUGUGUAGCAGUGAAAUGCGUAGAGAUAUGGAAGAACAUCGAUGGCGAAGGCAGCCCCCUGGGUUAACACUGACACUCAGGCACGAAAGCGUGGGGAGCAAACAGGAUUAGAUACCCUGGUAGUCCACGCCCUAAACNNUGUCAACUAGUUGUUGGGCCUUA
rnacentral:rRNA from 1 species